CGAAUGAUGCGCUUGGUAUAGUCUUCGGUCCCGAGCAUCCUGACCGGCAUGGGUGUAGUUCCAACUAUGGUAUUCAAGCAAACAUCAAAACGAGGUGGUUCUGAUAUGGGAUCAUCUAGCGCUAGUGCUCCACCUCCAUAAUGGGUACAAAAGAUGGAAAAUAUGAGAUCACAAUUAAAUGGAGUUAAUUUUAUCCAUGGUCACUGAACUUGUGUGUUUGUUACCCAAAAGUCACUUUUCUUUUUUUGUUACGUAAAAAUCAUUCAACUUUGUGUUCAUUACACAAUGUCACACCUCAUUUUUUACCUACACCCCUGAAAGGGUAGUAUAAGGGAGUUUUUUUCAACUUAAAGUGACAAUCGAAACGGGAUUAAUUUAUUAAAAACUCAGAAUCGCCACUUAGGAUAAUUUAUGGUGUCCUAAGUCACCGGUUCAAAUCCCGAGUUGAGUAAAGAUUGACUCUAUUAUUUACUUCCCGAGUUCCGUGGUUCUAGCACGGUCGCUCAACUGUUAUAAUUGGCUUAUUUACUUGAUUUUAGUACAUGUUUUAGCGUAUGGUGCAAUUUUAACUAAUUAACCGCUUUUGAUCAUUUUUAAGGAAGAUUGCAACGUCAUUUAAAAUACGUCUUGAACCACGUCACAUAAAUGCACCCGCGGUCCCCGACGCAUUUUAUAUAACAUUAUUGAGAUUCGGAUUUGGGUCAUAUAAAUGCACACCUGAGUCCCUUUAAUCUAAUUGACAUAGUUCAGUAAUCCAAUUUCUAUACUGUGACAAAAUCACAUUCAACUAUAACCAAUUCGAGUGAACACGAAUAUAUAACCGAGCAAGCAAAUUCAAAACCACAGAGAAUAAUUACAGAAACAACGGGGUCGCAUCAACAAAUAAUUAAUAAGAGCUUGCAUAAAACGAGUAGAGGAUGAAAGAGUUGAACCUCAAUAUAGCCAGAAAAUUGAUUAUUUCACUACUUUGAACUCGAGAUGUAACACGAAUCGUAGACGGGAACCCAAAUCGGCACCAAAAAUCUAAAACUGGCAAUGAACUCGAAUCAACCUCGGCUAAAAUCCGUUCCCAUACUCGAAUAACAAAAAAUCAGAACCAAAUGACGAAGCAGAAACAUCUUCGUCGACAGAUUCAACCUUCAAACGGAACUCCGAAUCAAAUAUUUCAAACCAACUCCAUCGUCGAAAUCACAUUUAACAGAAGAAACCAAAUGUGUUUUUUUGUAUUUUUUGAUUUUAAAAUCUCAUAGUACUAAUUGUUAUAUUUAAACUAGGAACUAAAUAAGAAACAGAAAGUUCAGAAUCCAAAAAAAAAAAAAACGUUUUCCUUCUUCUUCAAAUUUAAAAAUGAUUUGCUACUGUUCUCCAAAUUUCCCCUUAAUCAUGAUAUCUCUACAAGGUUUAGAAGGUUUUUAAGUUGCUUUAGCAUCCAGUGAUCAACGUUCUGCAACCUGACUUUGACCGGGGAAAUGGACAACAACAAGAAACAUAAACGGAACCAAUAUACGGUAACAAGAAAACGGGAUGACGACAUCGACCACUCCUCGAAUCUGGAUGAUUAGAUUACUUUGAAUAUUCGAACAACCAAAGAUAUACAAGGCUUCAAAUCCAACAUCCAGUUGAGAAAAUACCAACAAUUCAAACCCGGAAUCGCGGAACUCGACUCGAAACCACUCCGGACAGCGGCGAUUUCAAUAACCCCCGCUUGACUCCAUAGUUUAAGCUUGUCUCAUUCUCCUCACUGUUUUUGGAGCUCCUCCUCUGUUUUUCGGUUGUGUGUGUGUGAGUGGUGAAGGCUGUGUGUAUGUUAAAAUUGAAGAAGAAAGCCUUCAGGGGUCAUGUGUGUUCAGCGGCUUCAGAGGUCUAGGUCGUUGAGUAUUUGGUCAGUGGAAAAGAGGUGGAUAAGAAGCAGAACGGAUGGGAGGGGGUGGGGUAGUUCGAAGGAGAUGAACUUGAGGGGGUGGGUCCUGUCAAAAGCUACGCAGCCCUCAGCUUUUUCUUUUCAGCUUUUCCUUCCGUCCUUUAGUCUCAGGCUUU
rnacentral:lncRNA from 1 species